UACGAAGGGGGCUAGCGUUGCUCGGAAUCACUGGGCGUAAAGGGUGCGUAGGCGGGUCUUUAAGUCAGGGGUGAAAUCCUGGAGCUCAACUCCAGAACUGCCUUUGAUACUGAAUAUCUUGAGUUCGGGAGAGGUGAGUGGAACUGCGAGUGUAGAGGUGAAAUUCGUAGAUAUUCGCAAGAACACCAGUGGCGAAGGCGGCUCACUGGCCCGGUACUGACGCUGAGGUGCGAAAGCGUGGGGAGCAAACAGG
rnacentral:rRNA from 1 species